UACCGUGUAUGUGUCCCGUAUGCCCCUGCACGUGGAGGUGCGGACGGAAGGGAAGCCUUAGUACGUUGUCGUAGACAACAAUUGGUGACCCCGAUGUGAUAAGACGGAGCACGGAGAGGUGCUCGGAGCGCAGGGGCGCUCGAGAAGGAGCGCAGAGGGGUGCUCGGAGCGCAGGGGCGCUCGAGGGGGAGCACGGAGAGGUGCUCGGAGCGCAAGGGCGCUCGAGGGGGAGCACGGAGAGGUGCUCGGAGCUCAGGGGCGCUCAACAGCGUACUCCAGUAUGUCUUCGUCGCUGGAGAGGAUGCUCUGAGUGCCUAGUUUGCUUGUCUCUGCCUCUGAGACAAGCCAUCCUGGAGUGAACGCAUAAAACCUUGAAGGCGUGGCUCCAAGCCUUAAAAGAGGGGGGAAAGCUGAU
rnacentral:lncRNA from 1 species